ACAGCAUUAGCUCAAUUGUAUAGAGCGUCUGGCUUCGGACCAGAAGGUUAGGGGUUAGAGUCCCUUAUGCUGUGCCA
rnacentral:tRNA from 2 species